rnacentral:tRNA from 1 species
UGCCCGGUGGUGUAGUGGCAACACAAAGGACUUUGAAUCCUUUGACCCAGGUUCGAAUCCUGGCCGGGCAGCCA